rnacentral:tRNA from 1 species
GCGGAUAUGGUGGAAUUGGUAGACACGCUGUCUUGAGGGGGCAGUGGCGAGAGCCGUGUCGGUUCAAAUCCGACUAUCCGCACCA